UACGGAGGAGGCAAGCGUUAUCCGGAAUUAUUGGGCGUAAAGCGUCCGCAGGUGGCACUUCAAGUCUGUCGUCAAAGACUGGGGCUUAACCCUGGAAAGGCGGUGGAAACUGAAGCGCUAGAGUGCGGUAGGGGUAGAGGGAAUUCCCGGUGUAGUGGUGGAAUGCGUAGAGAUCGGGAGGAAUACCAGUGGCGAAAGCGGCACCCUGGCCUUGGCCUGACGCUCAUGUGCGAAAGCGUGGGGAGCAAACGGG
rnacentral:rRNA from 1 species